rnacentral:rRNA from 1 species
UACGUAGGGGGCAAGCGUUGUCCGGAAUUAUUGGGCGUAAAGAGCGUGUAGGCGGUCCGGUAAGUCGGCUGUGAAAGUCCAGGGCUCAACCCUGGGAUGCCGGUCGAUACUGCCGGACUAGAGUUCGGAAGAGGCGAGUGGAAUUCCUGGUGUAGCGGUGAAAUGCGCAGAUAUCAGGAGGAACACCGGUGGCGAAGGCGGAUCUCUGGGCCGAUACUGACGCUGAGGAGCGAAAGCGUGGGGAGCGAACAGG